rnacentral:misc_RNA from 1 species
GAGUAGCCUCGUUGCUACGAUCUGCUGAGGCUAAGCCUGGGUUCUAUAGAUUUGUUUGACAACAGUCAAACCACUUCUCUCUCUGUCCACCGGGCAAUGGAGGUGUGUACCAUAGGCACCCACCCCGCACACGCCCAAGUCCCCACUUGCCCUCUGGGCCAGGGCACCCCGUCUACUUGGCUACGCCCUAGUGCUAGGCGCCAAGUGCCAGGCGCCCAGGUGCCAGGCGCCCAAGUACGAGUGCCACUGCGACACUACGACGAACCUUUCGAGGCCCCCGGGAAAAAGUGGCCCACGCAUCCCCUCUGCACUCUGCACUCUGUGCACUCUGCACUCUGUGCACUUCCCUACUUUCCCUAUUCCCUUAUUCCUUAUUCCCUAUUCCCUAUUCCCUAUUCCCCUACUCUCCCACUCCCCUACUCUCCACUCCCCCACUCUCCCACUCGACGCUCUCCCCCGC